rnacentral:rRNA from 1 species
UUAGCGGCGGACGGGUGAGUAACACGUGGGUAACCUGCCCAUAAGACUGGGAUAACUCCGGGAAACCGGGGCUAAUACCGGAUAACAUCUAGCACCGCAUGGUGCAAGAUUGAAAGGCGGCUUCGGCUGUCACUUAUGGAUGGACCCGCGUCGCAUUAGCUAGUUGGUGAGGUAACGGCUCACCAAGGCGACGAUGCGUAGCCGACCUGAGAGGGUGAUCGGCCACACUGGGACUGAGACACGGCCCAGACUCCUACGGGAGGCAGCAGUAGGGAAUCUUCCGCAAUGGACGAAAGUCUGACGGAGCAACGCCGCGUGAGCGAUGAAGGCCUUCGGGUCGUAAAGCUCUGUUGUUAGGGAAGAACAAGUGUGAGUUGAAUAAGCUCAUGCCUUGACGGUACCUAACCAGAAAGCCACGGCUAACUACGUGCCAGCAGCCGCGGUAAUACGUAGGUGGCAAGCGUUAUCCGGAAUUAUUGGGCGUAAAGCGCGCGCAGGCGGUUUCUUAAGUCUGAUGUGAAAGCCCACGGCUCAACCGUGGAGGGUCAUUGGAAACUGGGAGACUUGAGUGCAGAAGAGGAGAGUGGAAUUCCAUGUGUAGCGGUGAAAUGCGUAGAGAUAUGGAGGAACACCAGUGGCGAAGGCGACUCUCUGGUCUGUAACUGACGCUGAGGCGCGAAAGCGUGGGGAGCAAACAGGAUUAGAUAC